rnacentral:lncRNA from 1 species
UCUCCGGAGAAACCAUCAUUUUGAUCGGUGAGGAUUCGGUCCUCCGAGCAACAUGACAAUGUUCCGGUGAAGACCAUCAGGGAUAAGCAGUUGUCGGUCCUUUGGGCGGUGCGGUGGAGGAAGAGACAAGGACACAAACAAAACAUGCAAGAGCUGCUUCUUUGGAUCAAAAUCGGCACACACUGAAGACAAAAAUACAUCAAUCAUCAA